rnacentral:misc_RNA from 1 species
GGAAUCUUCCGCAAUGGACGAAAGUCUGACGGAGCAACGCCGCGUGAGUGAUGAAGGUUUUCGGAUCGUAAAGCUCUGUUGUUAGGGAAGAACAAGUACCGUUCGAAUAGGGCGGUACCUUGACGGUACCUAACCAGAAAGCCACGGCUAACUACGUGCCAGCAGCCGCGGUAAUACGUAGGUGGCAAGCGUUGUCCGGAAUUAUUGGGCGUAAAGGGCUCGCAGGCGGUUUCUUAAGUCUGAUGUGAAAGUCCCCGGCUCAACCGGGGAGGGUCAUUGGAAACUGGGGAACUUGAGUGCAGAAGAGGAGAGUGGAAUUCCACGUGUAGCGGUGAAAUGCGUAGAGAUGUGGAGGAACACCAGUGGCGAAGGCGACUCUCUGGUCUGUAACUGACGCUGAGGAGCGAAAGCGUGGGGAGCGAACAGGA